UACGUAGGGUGCGAGCGUUAAUCGGAAUUACUGGGCGUAAAGCGUGCGCAGGCGGUUCGCCAAGUCAGGUGUGAAAUCCCCGGGCUUAACCUGGGAACUGCGUUUCUAACUGGCAGGCUAGAGUGUGGCAGAGGGGGGUGGAAUUCCACGUGUAGCAGUGAAAUGCGUAGAGAUGUGGAGGAACACCGAUGGCGAAGGCAGCCCCCUGGGCUAACACUGACGCUCAUGCACGAAAGCGUGGGGAGCAAACAGG
rnacentral:rRNA from 1 species